GGCUUCACUUACACAUGCUCACCUGCUCAGAUCUUCACACUGGUUGGCCUCCCCUGCCUCUUUACACAGUAAUCUUACAUUUGCCACUUGCAGGGAACAUGCCUGAAAGUACAGCUUGCAUGGAGUCAGGACCUGGGUCCCGAUCUAUGCUCGAACAGAGGAGACUUCUGAUGCCAAAUGUGUGGAAAAUUUCCAAAGACGCAUUUCCAUUUUAAAGAGAUCUGAAAACAUUAUCUGAAUCAGCUCCCCCUUCAAAAAUUCUAUUCCUGCGGGGAAAAAGGUAAUUAUAUGCAUUUAGAUAUGGAUGGCUUUUGCACAAAAAAAAUUUUUUUUUAGUUCACAUUGCCUAAUCAGAAGGAAUUAUUUCUUAAUCAUGAAGUAAUAGCCUUAAUACUCUUAGAUUCAA
rnacentral:lncRNA from 1 species